CCUGGCGGCCGUAGCGCGGUGGUCCCACCUGACCCCAUGCCGAACUCAGAAGUGAAACGCCGUAGCGCCGAUGGUAGUGUGGGGUCUCCCCAUGCGAGAGUAGGGAACUGCCAGGU
rnacentral:rRNA from 5 species